GGCGGGGUGUGGAAGCGUAGUAAUGCGUUGAGCUAACCCGUACUAAUUGCCCGUGAGGCUUAACCAUACAACACCAAAAGUGUUU
rnacentral:rRNA from 1 species